GAAUGUUUUUAAGCCAGAUGGGGUAAGACAAACUUUAGAAUCAGUUAUCUAGUAUUUUUUUUUCUGACUUUUGUUGUGCACAAGCUUGCCUAGUAUCUUUGAAUUUUCAAUUUUGAUUACUAUUAAAUAACCAUCCAUUGACAAGUUGUUGCUUUCAACUAGGAGUUCUAACUCUGCAAACAAAAUUGACAGCAUAGUUUUGAAGUUUCAUUACUUAAGGAGAAAUAUUUCCUGCUGUCUCUUCUCAGUUUUCCUUAUUGAUCAUUGGGACAGGUCAUUUUAUUCUCAG
rnacentral:misc_RNA from 1 species